AUGGAAAAACACAUAGACUCUAGUAGAUUGAAGUCCUGGGAAAGUUGGAAUGCCAUGUUUCGUUGUCAACACAAAAUUAGGAACAGCAAUGAUUGAUAGUGUAGGUGGGCCGGUUAGGGUCAACAAUUUGUUGUCAACACUCUAUAUACCAACAAUUGGAAAUAAAAACAUGAAAAGAAAUGGAGAGACGUGUUGGAAAUAUCAUUGAGACAGUGGCUUCUAUGUCGACAGAAUCUGCUGCGAAAGAACAAAGAUCAAGGAAAUGGAGGAUGUGCAUCAUGAAGAAUCAAUGGUAUCAGAAGAGAAGGUCUUAUUGACAAGAUCUUGGAGGAUGUCCUUUGCCAGAUGCCUCGCCAGCACUAAAGUCUAUUCUUGAGUCAGAUGCUACAGUUACAAAUGACAGUGAAUGGUCAGAUUUAUACAAUUGUGAUGAACAAUCCUCAACAAUACAUCAAACAAAAAUGCCUAA